rnacentral:lncRNA from 1 species
GAAAAAGUUCAGUAGCAGCUGGGCAGCCAAGGGUCCUCACAUCAGGGAGCAGCAGGAGAAGCACUGCUCCCUCAGGGCAGGUGAGUGGGGGGACCAGGGCACCCCAUCACGAGCUGAGCGGUGACCCCACAAAAGGGGCACAGUCCCACCACGCCAUUGACUGAUAGGCAGAGCAGGGUGGUUACUGCCGUGGGUCCUACCGAUAGCCCAGGGAUCAUCAGACCAGACAGGGGAAAUGUCGAGGUCUGAGGUCGACCCAGGAAACUCCCCAAUGGCUCAGGAAGAAGGCUGAGAAUAUGUAGGGAGCAGUGUGCUGGUUAAGCUGACUGAUUUGGCAGGGACAGCUGCAUUUGCUACACAGAAAACAUUUUCCUUUUGCUGUCCCAGGCCAGCAGCAGCCUAGAACAUGGAGAAAAUUUGGGAAUUAAAGUCCUUCCUCUGUAUCACCAAGCACUAGAGACCUCCCAAGACUCACGUAUGCUGCUCCCAGGCCUCUCCCCACACAGGCUUUCUCUGGGAUCUUGGGAAGACUUUGUGUGCCUGUCUACACUUACACCCAGAUCGCAGCAGGACACAGCGAGGAAGACUGACUUUCAUCUCUGCAAUGUACAGUUCCUAGCGACACAACUAAGUGCCAAGGGAAAGAGUGAGGCACCUGACAAAGUUAGGUGUCUGCAGGGUUAGACAGUAAUUUGAAGCAGACAGACUGGAUUACACUCCUCAGCUUUGCUUGGCUGUAAAUUACUAUGAAUGCAAGAUUUGGGUAGACAGGAUAACACCUUUG